UUUAUCACUAGAGGCCUGCAUGUGUGACUGCUGUGUCACAUGUGUGUCAGUAAGUGGAAGAGAGAGGACAGGCUAUGUCUAUGCUCAGUGUUCUGAGAUACCAACAUCUGAAUGAUUAGUAGCCUGAUAUU